rnacentral:rRNA from 1 species
UACGUAGGGGGCAAGCGUUGUCCGGAUUUAUUGGGCGUAAAGAGCGUGUAGGCGGCUUGGCAAGUCCGCUGUGAAAACUCGAGGCUUAACCUCGAGACGUCGGUGGAAACUGCCUGGCUAGAGUCCGGAAGAGGAGUGUGGAAUUCCUGGUGUAGCGGUGAAAUGCGUAGAUAUCUGGAGGAACACCGGUGGCGAAGGCGGCAUCCUGGACCGGUAUUGACGCUGAGGCGCGAAAGCUAGGGGAGCAAACGGG